GAGGGUACAGCUCAGCGGUAGAGCGCCUGCUUAGCAUGCACGAGAUGCUGGGUUCAUUCCCAGUACCUCCG
rnacentral:tRNA from 1 species